rnacentral:rRNA from 1 species
AAACUAAAUGGCUGCAGUAACUAUGACUGUGUGAAUGUAGCAUAAUCACUCGCCACUUAAUUAGUGGAUAGUAUGAAUGGUUAAACGAAAAUUUCUCUGUCUUAUGUAAUAAAAAAAAAAAUUUAAAUCAUAGUUAAGAGCUAUGUAACAUUGUAAGACGAAAAGACCCUAUAAAGCUUAACUAUAAUCUUUUAUAUUAUUUAUAAACAUUAAUUUAAUAAAAGAUUGGUAGUUUCAUUGGGGCGAUGAUCUCUAAAAACUAACAGAGAUAAGCUAAAUUAAUACAAUAAUUUACUGUUUAAUAAAUAAAUUUAACAGUUACAAAGUAGGCUAUAAAGACCCAUUAUUAUCAAAAAAAAGAAAUAAUGAUCAAAAAAUAAAAGCUACUUUAGGGAUAACAGGAUAAUUUUUUCUUAGAGUUCUUAUCGAAGAAAAAGUUUAUUACCUCGAUGUUGAAUUGAGAUAACCUAAUGAUGCAGC